rfam:Pan troglodytes isolate Yerkes chimp pedigree #C0471 (Clint) chromosome 20, whole genome shotgun sequence.
UUUUUAGCAUAAAUAUGUCUUAUGCAAUGUUUGGGACAUACUUAUGCUAAAA